rnacentral:rRNA from 1 species
UGAGGAAUAUUGGUCAAUGGGCGAGAGCCUGAACCAGCCAAGUAGCGUGCAGGACGACGGCCCUAUGGGUUGUAAACUGCUUUUAUGUGGGGAUAAAGUGCGUGACGUGUCAUGCAUUGCAGGUACCACAUGAAUAAGGACCGGCUAAUUCCGUGCCAGCAGCCGCGGUAAUACGGAAGGUCCGGGCGUUAUCCGGAUUUAUUGGGUUUAAAGGGAGCGUAGGCUGUCUAUUAAGCGUGUUGUGAAAUAUACCGGCUCAACCGGUGGCUUGCAGCGCGAACUGGUCGACUUGAGUAUGCAGGAAGUAGGCGGAAUUCAUGGUGUAGCGGUGAAAUGCUUAGAUAUCAUGAAGAACUCCGAUGGCGAAGGCAGCUUACGGGGGUGUUACUGACGCUUAAGCUCGAAGGUGCGGGUAUCGAACAGG